UUGACCUCGAAUCAGGUAGGGUUACCCGCUGAACUUAAGCAUAUCAAU
rnacentral:rRNA from 1 species